rnacentral:lncRNA from 1 species
AGAGAUGGAGCUAGAUAAUUAGUGAAGAUGAAAAACAGACAGAUUCCAAUGCUUGUCUGCAUCAUUCGUGGGGUCAUCGAUCCUGUCUAGAAUCAGCGAAUAAGAGAACCUGAAGGUAAAGCAAAGUUAAUUUUCAAAGGCCUGCUUCAAUAGUUGGCUUGAUUCCAUGAUCCAAAGGACCCUAUACCUUUCUAAUAUAAGGAUUGUUGUACUUAUCAACUUGAAGGAUGGCAGCAGGAGGACCCAGAACAUCCCCUUGAGUCUGCUAAAUCCCCUCCCAGAGCACGUUU